rnacentral:sRNA from 1 species
AUGCGAUUGCAUUCCAUGUAGUAACAUAUGCGAUCAUACCAGCACUAAUGCACUGGAUCCCAUCAGAACUCCGCAGUUAAGCGUGCUUGGGCGAGAGUAGUACGAGGAUGGGUGACCUCGAGGAAUGUCCUCGUGUUGCAUCCCUCUUUUUUUCCGGUUUUUCUCUUUUUUGUUUUGUUAAAAAUGUAUGACUCUAUAACUUUUAGACCGUGAGGCCAAACUUGGCAUGCCAUACCUUUUCGGAAAGCCCAAAGAGAGCUCUCCAAUGAAUGAGGAAGGAAAAUGGAAUUCUUCUAUUGUUUUUUUUUCUACUCAAAAUUUUGACCUUAAUGUACAUUUUCGGGCCUUUUCUUGAUCUUUGCAAUAUUACGAGGCAAAAAUUAUAUGUUUGGACAUUGUUUUUGAAUAUUUUGCAUGUCUCAAAGCUCUUAUAAACAAGAUAGAUUGCAAUGCAUGUAGUAACGGAUGCUAUCAUACUAGCACUAAUGCACCAGAUCCCAUCAGAACUCCGCAGUUAAGCGUGCUUGAAAAAGAGUUGUACUAGUAUGGGUGACCUCCCGGAAAGUCCUCGUGUUGCAUCCCUCUUUUUUUUUUUUUUGGUUUUUCUCUUUUUUUUUGUUAAAAAUGUAUGACUUUAUAACUUUAAUACCGUGAGGCCAAACUUGACAUGUGAUACAUUUUCGGAAGGCCCAAAGAGAACUCUCCGAUGAAUGAGGAAGGAAAAUGGUAU